rnacentral:rRNA from 1 species
GUAGUCAUAUGCUUGUCUCAAAGAUUAAGCCAUGCAUGUCUAAGUUUAAGCAAUAAACAGUGAAACUGCGAAUGGCUCAUUAAAUCAGUCAUAGUUUAUUUGAUGGUACCUUACUACAUGGAUAACUGUGGUAAUUCUAGAGCUAAUACAUGCUGAAAAAUCCCGACUUCUGGAAGGGAUGUAUUUAUUAGAUCCAAAACCAAUGGCCUUCGGGUCCCUAUGGUGAAUCAUGAUAACUGCUCGAAUCGCAUGGCCUUGCGCCGGCGAUGCUUCAUUCAAAUAUCUGCCCUAUCAACUUUCGAUGGUAGGAUAGAGGCCUACCAUGGCAACGGGUAACGGGGAAU